rnacentral:rRNA from 1 species
UACGGAGGAUGCGAGCGUUAUCCGGAUUUAUUGGGUUUAAAGGGUGCGCAGGCGGUCUGUUAAGUCAGCGGUCAAAGCCCGGGGCUCAACCCUGGCCCGCCGUUGAAACUGGCAGUCUCGAGUUGGAGAGAAGUAUGCGGAAUGCGCGGUGUAGCGGUGAAAUGCAUAGAUAUCGCGCAGAGCUCCGAUUGCGAAGGCAGCAUGCCGGCUCCACACUGACGCUGAGGCACGAAAGCGUGGGUAUCGAACAGG